UUUAAUUUUCUCCAAGAAAAGAAAGCCAGUCUUUAUUAUUGUUUGCAGCCAUGAGAAUAAAUAUAGAAAUGAAAAGAUUAUAAAGUAUAGUAGUAAUUUCAUACAAUGUAAACUAUAAUUGCACUACAAUCUGCAGCCAUCAAAAGAAUGUAAUGUGAGAAAUACCUGCAAAGACAAACUAAGCUGGCUAGGUAAACUUCCCAUCUGGAAUAGAAGGUGAAGAAAAAGAAAUAAAUCAGUAUUCUUAGUAAACACUGUGCUGCAGACGAACACCUCAGGUUCUGCUGCUUGUACUGUUGUCCUGCUUGUUGGGCAUCCACUUGGAGGAAGCACUGGAGUAUUGUCACUUCAGGAGCAAUCUACCAAGGGCCUGAUGGGUCACCUAGAUUUUGAAUACCUGAUAAAAAAUUCUUUACAUUUAUAAAGUCUCCAGCUUUAGUAGCUGAAUCCAUGCUUCAUUAGGCUGAUCCACUUCUUGUUCAACCUUGUUUUGAAGUUAUAUAGCAGCUUUCACUCCAGAAUCUCAGCGUUCCUUCAAACAGCAUCUAUGUGAGCAAGAAUAAAAUGCUAAAGCCAACAGAGAUUAAAUUAUUUCUGAAAAAUCAUUCAGCAAACAUUAACCAGAAAGAACUGAGGAAACAAGCAGCCCCCAUGCCAAGCCUGGUCUGUAAGCCAAAAAUUGAGCAGUUCUCAUUGUCGUGCUCAUGCUCCUGGAACUACAUCCCAUUGCAUACCUGUCCAUGCAAUGGAAGCUCCUCUAUGCUGGAUGAAGUGCUCACACAGUGAUUCUGUAUUUAUAGUAAUUCUGAAGAACUGAACCUGCAAGGAUAUCACAGGAAGAGAGGGAGGCCUUCAGUUAUUUGCUCUUGAUGACGCUUACAAUGCCUCUUCUCCAGUUACAGUUAGCAGCUACUUAUUUUCAACAGCUCUAAGGAGCACAAAGGAACCACAGAAUGACUACAGGGAGAGUCCCUUCAGAUCUAAAGAUGCAGUGGAAAGAAUGUAUAAACCAACAUUUUAAUGUGUGAUGUUUAAUUCUGGGUUUUUUUGUGAUUUUUUUUUUUAAUAGCUAUGAAAGAUACAUUUUCUUCCUGAGCUUCUUGUUUUUGCUUUUUUUGUUUGUUUUUAAACAUACAUAACAACUUUUCUCUGUGUUUUGAUGUUUACCAGACUGAGAAACAGGUGAGCUCAGGUCUCUGUCACACAAUAGAAUGCUUGGAUAUCUACAGGGCAGAAGGGCCAGAAAAGUGCUUCCUCUGCUAUUGACACAAAGCACAGAAGUAUCAGCUGCACACCUGAGUGCCACUUGAACGAGGAUGAAUUGUGUUCUGAGACCGCAUUGCUCAGCUGGAGCGACCACAUAAGCACUGGGCAGCGUGGGCUGCUCUGCUUCGUCCCUCCGUCCCAGUGCACAGAGACUGUCUGCACAGAGCAAGUCCCAGCAAGUCUGGUGCAGAUGGUGCAAACCAAGCUUCUCCAGUCUCCGUUUUCCCAGCCUUGCUUAAUGAGAGUCCCUGCUUGUCAAAACGAUGAACCUACAGACUGAAAAUGAACACUGUUAUUAGCAAUUCCAUUUAUAAUGCAAAUGUCUCUCUUUCUAACUGAAUUAAUGAAGAAAACAGGGUCACAAAGAUGUAACUAAGGAAAUCUUUCUGUCUUUGGAUUUGCUAAAUUUGCUCAGAUAUUAUAAGAGAAUCUGCCCACCCAGCCGCUUUUUCCUAAUCUGCUCUAAGCAGAGCAACAGCACAAUGACAGAAAAUAAUACUGUCAUUUAACUUAACACUCAUCAAAUGCUAUCCAGUCAGAGCUGUGCAAUGUUUCACAAGCUUUAAAUAGACUGAGCACUCCUUCCUUGUGAAUUAGAUAUUGCAACCAUUUUACAAAAAGGUAAAUUGAGAGGUACAAGGAUUAAGACCAGCAAGGCUGAUUUCUGUGGCUCAGCUGGUCUUCUUUUCAGAGACACCAAGAAAACAUCUCUCUUCUUCUGUCAGUUGAAGUUGUAGGCUCUGAUUGAUAUUGGUUUACAGUUGGUUUAUUAAGCUGGACACCUUCAACUUGUCAUUGGUGACUGCUUGAGAAAAAGGGGAAAUGUUGAAGUUAAUCUAGAAAGGAAGUGGGUGAAACUUGAGACCUGAAUCUUAAUUUCUAUACAUAACUACAAAGCCAAUCUGGUUCCUAAAGUGAUAUUAGCAAAAGGUUUGGAAGGCCCUCUGCACUUAGAAAGAAAAUAGAUAAGCCAAAGAGAAAAAUUAAUACACUUAAAUUAAAUACGGCAACAACAAAUAAAACACCAGACUGUUUGUUAUAUACCGUAGACUCUGUAGGAAAGCACUGCACCCAUUAUUUCUUAUUAUUGCUCCAGGAAAGAAAUUCACAGGGAAGGCAAAAAAAAAUGAAGUUAGCAAUGAUUUUUCACUAUGAACAUUUCUCCAGGGAUGAGUUGUAAAGGAAAAAAAAUGUAGCCUGGGAGAAGAGAGCUAGAAAGAAAGGAUUAUCUACAUUUAUGUAUUUAGUGAGACACUUGCACCCACACUAAUGCCGUUAUAGGGAAACCAUUAAACAGCACUUUUACACCUCUUUUUAUUUUGUCUUAAUGAAAAGUGAGCAGAUGGGAUGGCAGACAGCAAUGAGGAGGUGCAGCAUAACAAGAAAAUGAGAAGUUUUCAAACACGGAGUGGUAGCAGAGGGAGAUCAGUUAGAAAGGGUUGCAAAUUGUUGAUCUUAAAAGCGAUUCAGGAACAUCAUAGAGUGAGAAGUCAAGAAGGAUGACAGCAUUUGGGUCAAUAGUAGGCUAUAGAUGAAAGGUAAUACUACAUGAAGCGAUGCAUCUGACAUCAUACAGAACAGUAGGUACUGAAAUGCAGAUAAGUAAAUAGAAGAAAGGCUAGUUAAAGUAUAGAAGAAAGAAAGAAUAUUGAGUAAACAUGCCAUUCAGAGGGUGGAAUAGCUAAAAAUCCAACUAAAGUUAGUGCAGAAUGAGGUUGCCUUUUAAUAAGUUAGCACCAGCUGUUCAGUGGAGGAUGGAAGAAUUAUGUUCAUUAUUUUAUAAGUUCAGAUGCCAAAUCAAACCUUAGAAUCAUUGGCCAGAAUUGCCAAUUGCAAACAAGGUUUAUGGUAAACCUUUUGAAGAGGCACUGAGAUGAAGAAGAAAUGUAUUUCCUGCCUCUCAAAACAUCCUAAAAAGUGAUGGAUUAGAAACCUUAGUGCCUACAGAUCUAGUGCCUUCCUGGUUCAACAUGAGUCUAAUGCUGUAUUAGAAUGACUACUGUCAGUGUAUCUCCAGGGUCUGCAAAGGAUGCGACUCAGACUUGAGCUCUUGGCCUGGUGGUGCUUGCAGAGGAGAUCUGGCAGAGCCCUGGCUCUCCUCCAUACACGCUGACCCCUGGCUUCAUUGCUUGUCCCCUCUGAUCAUCUCCCCUUGGGAGAGGUGAGGGGAUAGCAAACAUGGAUUGCCUGUGUUGUAGCUGGUAGGAUGUCAGCCUGCUCAAACACAUGGGUCCAGACUAAUGCCCAAGUUAGCUUAUCAACAAAGCUUAUGAGCUCCAACCAAUCCCUUCAUUAAUAUACAUGUACAGUUUCCAAAAUGGAGCUAGUCCACAUCUGCCUUAGAGUACGGAUAAUGGAGGCUGGAUUUGUAUGAUAUAAUUGGAUACAACACUGAUAGAACCAGUAGCCCUCAGUCAUCGGGGUACAUCAGUAAGUCAAAGAAAGGAAACCGCUCACUUGGCUUAAGACUCGGCACAUACUCACUCUGCACCAGAGCUGGCAAAAAGUAAAGACUGAAAGAUCCCUCGAGAGUGUAUUCAUUGACCUCCCAGGCGUCCUUAAGGGGUUUGUUUGGGAAAUAUUGCGUAUUGAAUUAUUGAUCAUCUGACUAAGCAGAGAUGGAAAUAACUGAUCUACUGCUGAAGUGAAAAUAAAGAACAGGGGAAGAAAAGGAAGUGGUAGAGUAUAGAAAAGUUGAGGUAUGGACCACAAACACUACCUAUAUUAAAGGAUAUUCAUGUUAUUCUAUGAUAGAAUAACAACAUUAUCCCUUCGGGCUCGUGUUAAUACUUUGGCUAAAUCCUUUAAGUAGAUUAGAAAGAAUUAUGGGACCUUACUGGAGGAAAAAACCUAUAAACAGGUAGCGUGCAUGCUUUCGUGUAGAUGGCUUCCAACAAAGUGCUGCCCUGGAACAGAAAGAAGGGAAGAACCAGACGCUGGAUUCUUGAGGGGGCAAUUAGUGAGAAAAAUUAAGGUUUGAAAUUUUAUUUUUGUUAACAUUUUGGGCUUCUCACAACUUCUCUGCUCAGCUGUUCCCUGUCACUCUGGACAAAUUUCAAGACAAACUCCUUUACUCAUAAAAAAAGCAACCCCGAGCACUUAAGGAAGGAUUGCAAAAACAAGCUUCAUGCUGCUUAACUUCAUCUCUUUAUGUGGCUUAAUGUGGUUUUUUUUACACUUAUUGGGUUAUAUUCUAGCCAGGCUAAGCUGCUGAAGUCCCACUGAAUCAAUGAGGUGGUGCUAAAUCCUCUGAAGGUUCCUCUGAUUUUCACCCUCUCGCUGGUAUUCUGACAAGCUAAACAUAUUACAUUCCUCCACGCCUCUCUAUUCAUAAGAAAAGCUUCAAAAUAUAACUCAGAUCACUCCUAUA
ensembl:lncRNA